UACAUACUUUCUCCGUCCUAAAAUUCUUGUCUUAGAUUUGUCUAGAUACGAAUAUAUCUGAUACCAAGACGUGACUUGAUACAUCCAUAUUUAGACAAAUGUAAGAAAAGAAUUUUGGAACGAAGGGAGUACUAU
rfam:Triticum aestivum genome assembly, contig: Triticum_aestivum_CS42_TGACv1_scaffold_132396_2BL